GAUGAACGCUAGCGGGAGGCCUAACACAUGCAAGCCGAGCGGUAGAGACUCUUCGGAAUCUUGAGAGCGGCGUACGGGUGCGGAACACGUGUGCAACCUGCCUUUAUCAGGGGGAUAGCCUUUCGAAAGGAAGAUUAAUACCCCAUAAUAUAUUUGAUGGCAUCAUUAGAUAUUGAAAGCUUUGGCGGAUAGAGAUGGGCACGCGCAAGAUUAGAUAGUUGGUGAGGUAACGGCUCACCAAGUCGAUGAUCUUUAGGGGGCCUGAGAGGGUGAUCCCCCACACUGGUACUGAGACACGGACCAGACUCCUACGGGAGGCAGCAGUGAGGAAUAUUGGACAAUGGGUUAGCGCCUGAUCCAGCCAUCCCGCGUGAAGGACGACGGCCCUAUGGGUUGUAAACUUCUUUUGUACAGGGAUAAACCUACUCUCGUGAGAGUAGCUGAAGGUACUGUACGAAUAAGCACCGGCUAACUCCGUG
rnacentral:rRNA from 1 species